rnacentral:rRNA from 2 species
AGCUUGACACUGAACACUGGUCCUUGAUGUGUAGGAUAGGUGGGAGGCUUUGAAGUGUGGACGCCAGUCUGCAUGGAGCCAUCCUUGAAAUACCACCCUUUAAUGGCUGGUGUUCUAACGUGGGCCCGUUAUCCGGGUUGCGGACAGUGUCUGGUGGGUAGUUUGACUGGGGCGGUCUCCUCCUAAAGAGUAACGGAGGA